rnacentral:rRNA from 1 species
UGCCAGCAGCCGCGGUAAUACAGAGGGUGCAAGCGUUAAUCGGACUGACUGGGCGUAAAGGGUGCGUAGGUGGAUGAGUAAGUUAGAUGUGAAAAGCCCGGGCUUAACCUGGGUCUGUCAUUUAAUACUGCUUAUCUAGAGUUUGGGAGAGGGUAGAGGAAUUUCCGGUGUAGCGGUGAAAUGCGUAGAGAUCGGAAGGAACACCAUUUGCGAAGGCAUCUACCUGGCCCAAAACUGACACUGAGUCACGAAAGCGUGGGUAGCGAACAGGAUUAGAUA